rnacentral:lncRNA from 1 species
GCUAAACAUACAAACCAUGGCAUAUAUCACGUUAUUUAUGUUUUCAUUUCGCCACACCAGCGGCACACCGCAUGGAUCUGUGGCCUGCUGUACAUCACACACACGGACACGGAAAGCAUCACAGGUGGGUGCAGCUCCGACCAUGCGAGUUUCACCGUCGACUGUGAUCUAGGACAUCUUGACGUGCUCCAUGCGCUGCCUCUCCAUGUACUCGAAGAGGCUGCCGUCGUACAUGCGCCGGAUGGCCUCCCUCGACAGGUACCCUUCGUCGUCCCGAGCCAGCACGUACAGGAACGACCACUCCAGCUUCAUCGCCACCCUGCAUCCGUCCAUCCAUCCCAUCUCACACCAGUUAGCUAUACAACAACAUAGCCGCAGCAUGCAGCAACUGAAACUGAAGGUUCAUUCAUGCUGAUCGUCGAGUAAAUUAGCCAGUUACCAGCCGAAGAAAUCGAACACCUCCCGGCACCCCUCGGUCAUCCGCCACAGCUCCCUGUAGCUGAGCCUGUCCGGGUACGUGCGGGCGUACUUGCUGAAGAUGUUCUCGAAAUUCACCGGCAUGAACCUGCACAACACCACAAACAUUUCACAUUCGCCGCCAGCCCGUCAGUGCAUAAUUAACAGUAACUACUACUAGUACAACAUACCGGCCCUCUUUGUCAUAGGUCCCCGAAUCACUCCCGUGCUUGCUCUUGUGGAUGUUGUGCACGUAGAUCGGGAAGAGAGGGUUCGGCAGCCAACCCUGCACAGCCACAAAAACGCAGUCAAUACAUACAAAGACUGAAUGAAACACGGUGUGAUUUCUCAAGUUCUUUGAUAGCUCACUCACGGGCAGGGUGGGAUAGCUCAUGACCAGGUUCACCAGAAACGCGAUGAAGGCGGACAUGAACACGUUGAACCCAACCG